rnacentral:rRNA from 1 species
UCGAACGGCAGCACGGGGGCAACCCUGGUGGCGAGUGGCGAACGGGUGAGUAAUACAUCGGAACGUGUCCUGUAGUGGGGGAUAGCCCGGCGAAAGCCGGAUUAAUACCGCAUACGAUCUACGGAAGAAAGCGGGGGAUCGCAAGACCUCGCGCUAUAGGGGCGGCCGAUGGCAGAUUAGCUAGUUGGUGGGGUAAAGGCCUACCAAGGCGACGAUCUGUAGCUGGUCUGAGAGGACGACCAGCCACACUGGGACUGAGACACGGCCCAGACUCCUACGGGAGGCAGCAGUGGGGAAUUUUGGACAAUGGGGGAAACCCUGAUCCAGCAAUGCCGCGUGUGUGAAGAAGGCCUUCGGGUUGUAAAGCACUUUUGUCCGGAAAGAAAA